GACGAACGCUGGCGGCGUGCUUAACACAUGCAAGUCGAACGGAAAGGCCCUGCUUUUGUGGGGUGCUCGAGUGGCGAACGGGUGAGUAACACGUGAGUAACCUGCCCUUGACUUUGGGAUAACUUCAGGAAACUGGGGCUAAUACCGGAUAGGAGCUCCUGCUGCAUGUUGUGGGUUGGAAAGUUUCGGCGGUUGGGGAUGGACUCGCGGCUUAUCAGCUUGUUGGUGGGGUAGUGGCUUACCAAGGCUUUGACGGGUAGCCGGCCUGAGAGGGUGACCGGCCACAUUGGGACUGAGAUACGGACCAGACUCCUACGGGAGGCAGCAGUGGGGAAUAUUGCAAAAUGGGCGGAAGCCUGAUGCAGCAACGCCGCGUGCGGGAUGACGGCCUUCGGGUUGUAAACCGCUUUCGCCUGUGACGAAGCGUGAGUGACGGUAAUGGGUAAAGAAGCACCGGCUAACUACGUG
rnacentral:rRNA from 1 species